AAAGAUGUAGCUCAAUGGAUUAGAGCUUCCCGCUUCUAACGGGAUGGUUGUAGGUUCAAAUCCUACCAUCU
rnacentral:tRNA from 1 species